UACAGAGGGUGCAAGCGUUGUUCGGAAUUAUUGGGCGUAAAGCGCGUGUAGGCGGCGUGACAAGUCGGGUGUGAAAGCCCUCAGCUCAACUGAGGAAGUGCGCCCGAAACUGUCGUGCUUGAGUGCCGGAGAGGGUGGCGGAAUUCCCCAAGUAGAGGUGAAAUUCGUAGAUAUGGGGAGGAACACCGGUGGCGAAGGCGGCCACCUGGACGGUAACUGACGCUGAGGCGCGAAAGCUAGGGGAGCAAACGGG
rnacentral:rRNA from 1 species